GGGACAGGAUGUCAGGGGGGUGUCUGGGUGCCCCAGAGCACCCACACCUCCCCCUCUUACCCCCCAGCUGCCCCCCCCUGGGGUGCCCAUAGCAAUGGCCCCCCCUCGGCUGCAGGCGCUUCUGGGGCGCUGGCGGGAGAAGGUCUUCACCCUCCUGGUGCAGCUGCGGGUGCAGGAGGAGGUGCAGCGGGUGCUGCGGGCGCAGGUGGGGACACUGGGGGCGGCGGUGACAGCGGGGACACGGCGGGUGAGGCGGCUAGAGCUGAGCCUGCGCGAGGGGGCGGCCACCGCUGAGCUGCAGCGGCGGGACAGAGAGCGCCUGGCACAGGAGGUGACACGGCAGCGGGGACGGGCAGAGGCGGCUGAGGAGGCACUGGGAGGACUGGUGCGGGCGGCUGCCAGGCUGGCCGAGGUGGUGACAGCACGCGAGGCUGAGGUGACAGCAGCCACCAGGACCAUGGUCACCCUCAGCGCCCGCCUGCGCCGGGCGGGACAGCGGCUCCGCGUCCUCCAGGGGCUGAUGACCCUGGUGUCACCCUGUCCCCAGGGCUGGUGGCCCCGGCGGUGGCCUUGGACCGGCCGCGGUGGCAGCGGGACCCGACAGGGGACAAGUGAGUGAUGGGGGAGGGCCCUGAUGCCUGGGUCCACUCUGGGGGUGUUGAGGGACCCCAAGGGGGGACAUUGGGACCC
rnacentral:lncRNA from 1 species